CGCAAGUAGUGGCGAGCGAACGCGGACUAGCCCAAACCCAAGUAGUUACGGCUGCUUGGGGGUUGUAGGACUGUGAUGUGGACUGUACAAAAGAACUGGAAUGAUUUGGGAAAGUCAGCCAGAGAGGGUGAGAGCCCCUUACAGGUAAAGUUGUACUACCUAACAGUAUCCUGAGUAGGGCGGAACCGGAGAAAUUCCGUCUGAAUUUGCCAGCACCAUCUGGUAAGGCUAAAUACUCCUGAGAAACCGAUAGUGAACCAGUACCGUGAGGGAAAGGUGAAA
rnacentral:rRNA from 1 species